CCCUUAGAUGUUCUGGGCCGCACGCACGCUACACUGAUGCAUUCAACGAGUCUAAAACCUGCUCUGAUAGGGGUGGGUAAUCUUUUGAAUGUGCAUCGUGAUUGGGAUAGAUGAUUGCAAUUUUUCAUCUUCAACGAGGAAUGCCUAGUAAACGCAAGUCAUCAGCUUGCAUUGAUUACGUCCCUGCCCUUUGUACACACCGCCCGUCGCUCCUACCGAUUGAAUGAUCCGAUGAAUAUCAUGGAUUGAGGAUUAUAGCAGGUUCGCCUGUCUUGAUCUUCGAGAAGUGAAGUAAAUCUUAUCAUUUAGAGGAAGGAGAAGUCGUAACA
rnacentral:rRNA from 1 species